AUUGAACGCUGGCGGAAUGCUUUACACAUGCAAGUCGAACGGCAGCACGAACUUCGGUCUGGUGGCGAGUGGCGAACGGGUGAGUAAUGUAUCGGAACGUGCCCAGUCGUGGGGGAUAACGUAGUGAAAAUUACGCUAAUACCGCAUACGAUCUAUGGAUGAAAGCGGGGGAUCGCAAGACCUCGCGCGAUUGGAGCGGCCGAUAUCAGAUUAGGUAGUUGGUGGGGUAAAGGCCCACCAAGCCAACGAUCUGUAGCUGGUCUGAGAGGACGACCAGCCACACUGGAAAUGAGACACGGUUCAGACUCCUACGGGAGGCAGCAGUGGGGAAUUUUGGACAAUGGGCGAAAGCCUGAUCCAGCCAUUCCGCGUGCAGGAUGAAGGCCCUCGGGUUGUAAACUGCUUUUGUACAGAACGAAAAGGUUUCUACUAAUACUAGGAGCUCAUGACGGUACUGUAAGAAUAAGCACCGGCUAACUACGUGCCAGCCGCCGCCGUAA
rnacentral:rRNA from 1 species